UACGUAGGGGGCAAGCGUUGUCCGGAAUCAUUGGGCGUAAAGAGCGUGUAGGCGGCUUGGUAAGUCCGCUGUGAAAGUCCAGGGCUCAACCCUGGAAUGCCGGUGGAAACUGUCAAGCUUGAGUCCGGAAGAGGCGAGUGGAAUUCCUGGUGUAGCGGUGAAAUGCGCAGAUAUCAGGAGGAACACCUAUUGCGAAGGCAGCUCGCUGGGACGUUACUGACGCUGAGACGCGAAAGCGUGGGGAGCAAACAGG
rnacentral:rRNA from 1 species